UACGUAGGGGGCAAGCGUUGUCCGGAUUUAUUGGGCGUAAAGAGCUCGUAGGCGGUUCGGCAAGUCAGAUGUAAAAACUCCAGGCUCAACUUGGAGAGGCCAUCUGAUACUGCCGUGACUAGAGUCCGGUAGAGGAGCACGGAAUUCCUGGUGUAGCGGUGAAAUGCGCAGAUAUCAGGAGGAACACCAGCGGCGAAGGCGGUGCUCUGGGCCGGAACUGACGCUGAGGAGCGAAAGCGUGGGGAGCGAACAGG
rnacentral:rRNA from 1 species